rnacentral:rRNA from 1 species
AAAUGCCUCUAUAGCCCCUACACCUGCCUGAUCUCAUCUGACUUCAGAAGGUAAGAAGGACUGUACCUACUUGGUGCUUGGAUGGGAGAAUGCCUAGAAAUACUGGGUACUGUAAGCUUUUC